UACGAAGGGGGCUAGCGUUGCUCGGAAUCACUGGGCGUAAAGCGCGUGUAGGCGGCCAAGUAAGUCUUACGUGAAAUCCUGAGGCUCAACCUCAGCCUGCGCGGGAUACUGCUUGGCUAGAGUCCGGAAGAGGAGAGUGGAAUUCCUGGUGUAGCAGUGAAAUGCGUAGAUAUCAGGAGGAACACCGAUGGCGAAGGCAGGUCUGCUGGGCUGACACUGAGGAGCGAAAGCGUGGGGAGCGAACAGG
rnacentral:rRNA from 1 species